rnacentral:rRNA from 1 species
UAGAGUUUGAUCAUGGCUCAGGACGAACGCUGGCGGCGUGCCUAAUACAUGCAAGUCGAACGAACUCUGGUAUUGAUUGGUGCUUGCAUCAUGAUUUACAUUUGAGUGAGUGGCGAACUGGUGAGUAACACGUGGGAAACCUGCCCAUAAGCGGGGGAUAACACCUGGAGACAGAUGCUAAUACCGCAUAACAACUUGGACCGCAUGGUCCGAGCUUGAAAGAUGGCUUCGGCUAUCACUUUUGGAUGGUCCCGCGGCGUAUUAGCUAGAUGGUGGGGUAACGGCUCACCAUGGCAAUGAUACGUAGCCGACCUGAGAGGGUAAUCGGCCACAUUGGGACUGAGACACGGCCCAAACUCCUACGGGAGGCAGCAGUAGGGAAUCUUCCACAAUGGACGAAAGUCUGAUGGAGCAACGCCGCGUGAGUGAAGAAGGGUUUCGGCUCGUAAAACUCUGUUGUUAAAGAAGAACAUAUCUGAGAGUAACUGUUCAGGUAUUGACGGUAUUUAACCAGAAAGCCACGGCUAACUACGUGCCAGCAGCCGCGGUAAUACGUAGGUGGCAAGCGUUGUCCGGAUUUAUUGGGCGUAAAGCGAGCGCAGGCGGUUUUUUAAGUCUGAUGUGAAAGCCUUCGGCUCAACCGAAGAAGUGCAUCGGAAACUGGGAAACUUGAGUGCAGAAGAGGACAGUGGAACUCCAUGUGUAGCGGUGAAAUGCGUAGAUAUAUGGAAGAACACCAGUGGCGAAGGCGGCUGUCUGGUCUGUAACUGACGCUGAGGCUCGAAAGUAUGGGUA